rnacentral:rRNA from 1 species
CGUACACUCCUGCGGGAGGCAGCAGUGGGGAAUAUUGGACAAUGGGCGCAAGCCUGAUCCAGCCAUGCCGCGUGAGUGAUGAAGGCCCUAGGGUUGUAAAGCUCUUUCACCGGUGAAGAUAAUGACGGUAACCGGAGAAGAAGCCCCGGCUAACUUCGUGCCAGCAGCCGCGGUAAUACGAAGGGGGCUAGCGUUGUUCGGAUUUACUGGGCGUAAAGCGCACGUAGGCGGACUAUUAAGUCAGGGGUGAAAUCCCGGGGCUCAACCCCGGAACUGCCUUUGAUACUGGUAGUCUUGAGUUCGAGAGAGGUGAGUGGAAUUCCGAGUGUAGAGGUGAAAUUCGUAGAUAUUCUGAGGAACACCAGUGGCGAAGGCGGCUCACUGGCUCGAUACUGACGCUGAGGUGCGAAAGCGUGGGGAGCAAACAGGAUUAGAAACCCCAGUAGUCC